GCCAGGCCAGGCCCACCCAGGCUGCGCCAGGGGCCGCCAGCCUCUGGGCGGCAGGGGGACCCCUGGAACCAGGGAGAGUGGCCUGAGCAGGAAAUCAGGUCCCAGAAACCAGCAGAGCCACAUGGGCCCACAGGCGGGGCAGGCCCAGCUGCAGGCACCACCCUCCUCCCUGUCCUGAGCCGGGCUUGCUCUCAGAGCCUGCUGCUGUCCCCAGGCUAGGGAUGCGCCUCCCAGCGGGAACCCCUGUGGAGGGAAAGCCCCGCCCAGCCCGAAGCUCAGUCGCGAGGAACUGCCGUCUGUUGAGCACUGCCAGAAAAGCGCAAACACUUCACUGAACUAACUCACCUGAUUGAAUUUCACUUCCUGGUGCAGGCGCAUUGUACCAACCCUCUCUACUUCAGCCUACCAGGAGGGAGGAAGGCCACCGUCUUUCCUUCUCCUUCCAUGUCAUCCUCAGCGUCGGUGCUUGUGCAGUACAGAGGGCCCAGGGCUUCAUUUAGCACAAGUUCAGACAUGAAACCGUUAAGAAUUCCAGCGUAGCCGCAGCCCAGCACUGAACCCAAUGCCUGCUCCUCUGACUGUCUACCUUGGCUGGUUCCUGUGUCACUGGAAGGAGGAAGGAACCCCUCCCCCGUCACCACGGUUGUUCUGUUUUGGGGCCUGGCACCAUCACCCAACAACUAUUUGCUGAAUAAACGCAUUGUUCACCCACUGAGUAUUUGCUGAGCACCUACUGGCAGGGCGCCCUGAGGGCGCAGAGAUACAGCUGAGGACAGCGCAGCUUCUAACCUUGCCAUCCCCAAGGUGCGCGGAGC
rnacentral:lncRNA from 10 species